UAACGAAUCUUCCCCAAUGUACGAAAGUAUGAGGGAGCAAUGCCGCGUGCAGGAUGAAGGCCUUCGGGUUGUAAACUGCUUUUGUACGGAGCGAAACGGCUUCUCCUAAUACGAGGAGCUAAUGACGGUACCGUAAGAAUAAGCACCGGCUAACUACGUGCCAGCAGCCGCGGUAAUACGUAGGGUGCAAGCGUUGUUCGGAUUUACUGGGCGUAAAGGGCGCGUAGGCGGUUUGUCAAGUCAGUUGUGAAAUCUCCGAGCUUAACUCGGAACGGUCAACUGAUACUGUCAAACUAGAGUACAGAAGGGGCAAUCGGAAUUCUUGGUGUAGCGGUGAAAUGCGUAGAUAUCAAGAGGAACACCUGAGGCGAAGGCGGGUUGCUGGGCUGAUACUGACGCUGAAGCGCGAAAGCUAGGGUAGCAAACGGGAUUAGAUACCCCCGUAGUCCCUGAGCGGGCUGGCAAGGCGCAU
rnacentral:rRNA from 1 species